GAAGAAGAAGUAGAGGACGGGACGAAGUAGUCAUUUCUGUCAUUCACUCGGCGGUUAUUUUAAAGGAGCUGAGCCGACCUGUCGACAUCUUACACCGCGGCUGUGUUUGUCUUUCAGAAACACGCCUGCAAAAACCUAGAAGGACCACAUGGUGAGGGCAAGGAUAGUAUAAGUUAAGAACAGCUGGACCAACAUAAGCUCACCCGAACUACAGAGAAACAGCACCGCUGUAACCGCUGUAAGAAGAAUUUCAGUCGCCCAUGGAACUUGAAGAUUCAUCAGCGUAUCCACACUGGAGAAAAGCCUCACGUCUGUGACCAGUGUGGGGUGUGUUUCAGGCAGUUAGGGGACUUCAAGAGUCAUCAGUAUAUCCACACUGGAGAAAAGCCUUUUGUGUGUGACCAGUGUGGGAAGAGUUUCAGACAGUCUACACCUUUUAAAAUCCACCAGUGUAUCCACAUUGGAGAUAAACCUCACGUCUGUGACCAGUGUGGGGACAGUUUCAGACAUUUGGGAUGCUUAAAGAUUCAUCAGCGAAUCCACACUGGAAUAAAAGCAUCACCAGGGGCGUCGUAGUAGGGAUUAAAAGUUGGACUGAUUACCCAGGGCCCCAGUGGGAGGAGGGGGCCUUGAAAAGCCUGGAAUGAAAAGUUUGGUAUUUUUUGCAGUUUUUAGUGCUUUGCAUCAGUGCCAUAAUGUAAUUAAAACUGGCUAAAUAAA